rnacentral:rRNA from 1 species
GACGAACGCUGGCGGCGUGCCUAAUACAUGCAAGUCGAGCGGACGUUUUGUUGGUGCUUGCACCGACUUAAUGUUAGCGGCGGACGGGUGAGUAACACGUGGGCAACCUGCCCUGUAGUCUGGGAUAACUCCGGGAAACCGGGGCUAAUACCGGAUGAUACUUUCUGGCUCAUGUCAGAAAGUUGAAAGAUGGUUCUGCUAUCGCUACAGGAUGGGGCCCGCGGCGCAUUAGCUAGUUGGUGAGGUAACGGCUCACCAAGGCGACGAUGCGUAGCCGACCUGAGAGGGUGAUCGGCCACACUGGGACUGAGACACGGCCCAGACUCCUACGGGUGGCUG